rnacentral:antisense_RNA from 1 species
CUUCACCGAGCCGAGCCACAGCGGCCGGUCACGUCCGCCACCGUAGGCGGCGAUGAGGGCCUCCGCCUC